UACGUAGGGGGCUAGCGUUGUCCGGAAUCAUUGGGCGUAAAGCGCGCGUAGGCGGCCCGGUAAGUCCGUUGUGAAAGUCAAAGGCUCAACCUUUGAAUGCCGAUGGAUACUGCCGGGCUAGAGUCCGGAAGAGGCGAGUGGAAUUCCUGGUGUAGCGGUGGAAUGCGCAGAUAUCAGGAGGAACACCGAUAGCGAAGGCAGCUCGCUGGGACGGUACUGACGCUGAGGCGCGAAAGCGUGGGGAGCGAACAGG
rnacentral:rRNA from 1 species